rnacentral:rRNA from 1 species
ACGGGUGAGUAAUAUAUAGUUAAUCUGCCCCAAAGAAGAGAAUAAUUGUUGGAAACGACUUGUAAUGCUCUAUAUGCCUUUAUUACAUAAGUAAGCAAGGGAAAUAUUUAUAGCUUUGGGAUGAGACUGUACGGUAUCAGCUUGUUGGUGAGGUAAUGGCUCACCAAGGCAAUGACACCUAACCGGUUUGAGAGGAUGAUCAGUCACACUGGAACUGAGACACGGUCCAGACUCCUACGGGAGGCAGCAGUGGGGAAUAUUGCACAAUGGAGGAAACUCUGAUGCAGCAACGCCGCGUGGAGGAUGACACAUCUCGGUGCGUAAACUCCUUUUAUAUGAGAAGAUAAUGACGGUAUCAUAUGAAUAAGCACCGGCUAACUUCGUGCCAGCAGCCGCGGUAAUACGAGGGGUGCA